rnacentral:ncRNA from 1 species
UUCUAACUAUAAACUAUAUCGACUGGAAAUUCCAGUAAMACAAACCCAUAGAUUAUUGGGGCAUCCUCGGGAAACCAAGUUUUUGGAUUCCAGGGGGAGUAUUAUCGCAAGUUUGAAACUUAAAAGAAUUGACGGAAAAGCACCACCAUGGUGUGGAUUCUGCGGCUUAAUUUGACUCAACACGGAAAAACUUACCAAGUUCGGACACAAGUAUGAUUGACAGGUUAAAGACCUUUCUUGAUUUUGUGACAGGUGGUGCAUGGCCAUUCUUAGUUCGUGGAGUGAUUUGUCUUGUUAAUUCAGAUAACGAACGAGACCUUCACCUAUUAAUUAGGUGAUCAGACGAUUCUUUCGUCAUAUAGUUUGAGUGAAAACAUGUAUCGGGAAAAAGGUUGCAUUUAUGUAGCUUUAAACUUCCUUAACUUCUUAAAGGGACAACGUCUGUUAAAAUAAGUCGUCGAAGUGGAAGGCAAUAAUAGGUCUGUAUGCCCUUAGAUAUCUUGGGUAGCACGCGUAAUACAAUGUUAGUGACAGAGAGUAAAAAUAAUGAUCAAGUCUUUGAUUUGGUCAAAAUCCUGGUUCGAUAGAAUUGGGGAAACUUGAUAACCGUUAACAUGACAAGGAUUGCACUUUGUAAAUAGUGCAUGAAUGAGGAAUACCUAGUAUACGCGAUUCAUCAAAUUGCAUGGAUUGCGUCCCUGCUUUUUGUACACACCGCCCGUCGCUUCAAUCGACACGGUUGAAAUUAUAAAGUUGAUAGAUAUUGGUGAAAUUCACUGAUUAAAGUUGAAUGAAUUGUUUUGAUUUUAGAAUGAAGAAGUCGUAACAAGGUUAUCGAAUAGCCUUAGUGAUCAAGUAAUUGAUUGCUAGUAUCGAAGAUCAUCAAGACUAAUAGUUCAAGAAUAGAGUCAAGCGGGAAUUGAUUCAAAAUAAACAGAUCUUGGGUUCUUGUUUAUUAGUCUUGUUGUUAGAUGCAACACCGUCAAAUUGCGGGGACGCCCUUAGAGCUCUAGAUACCGCGGCUCAUCGAAAGAUGGAGUGCAGCAGAUGGUGUAACGACCAUUGGAUGGUAAAAACUCUUAGAGAUUGGGUAAUCCGCAGCCAGCCCUACGUACAGCGAUAUAAGGGUGCAGUUCACAGACUAAAUGUCGUGGGUCAUUUGAGAAAUAAUGGUACUAUAUGUACUGGAAGAAUUGACAAGGGGGCUAGUUUGAUCUAGAUGAGAGAUUGAGAAUUGAUGAGAACGGGUCUUUGCAUUAAUAAUCCAAAGUGGUUGUAUCUAUUGGUUGUGAAAUAUUUAGAUACUGUUAAUAUUGUCCACGCUAAUCCAAUUAUUAUUGGAGGAAUGCCAAGAGACUGCACGGAUUAAACAAUUUUUUGUUUUGCAUAGAUGAACAGUCCUCACUGUAUUUAGAGCAGUAGUAUCCGUUAUUCAAAAUCUAAAAAAUUUCAACCAAUUUCAUCAUGAACUACCAAGAUCCAUUUAGAACCCACAAAUACACCCCUAAUUAUCAACCCGUUAAUCCAGAUAUGCAAUAUCCUGAUUUGACGAUAGCUUAUGACACAUUAACCAGGCAGCAGCAUGUCGCUGCUUUAAAGCAGACGGCAAAGAAUUCCUUUGACAAAGGAUUAAUUAACAAGGAGCAGUACGAAGCAAUUUCUAAGAAGUUCGCUUGGGAUCCAAAUGUAUGCUACAUAAGUGCCUACGCUUGCGAUAAAAAAAACUACACCCAAGUGAGGUUUCAAGGGCAAAAAUAUUAUUGUCACAAGUUGGCAUGUGAUUUAUUCGUUAAUGGUGAGUCGUAUUUAGACGACACAAUCAUGAAAGAGAAGCAUCACACUUGUGCCGCAACAGGAAAUGUUAUAAUCCUUAUCAUCUUAUUUGGGAAUCUGGUAAUGAAAAUAAAAGCCGAUUCGCUUGCAAGCAUUUUGUUAUCGACAAAAACCCUACAAAUAAUGAUGAAUAUAAUUGCCCUCAUAUAAUUCCUUGUUUAUUAACCACACUCAAACCUGCAAAAGCCUCUAAAAUUAAACGUCAAGCUCAGAUAAGCCAAUUCUUUCCAAAAGCUAAAUUUCCAAAAACCGAAUAAACCAUUUUCCUCAUUUGAUUAAGUUAUAGUCGGGCCGUUCUCGAAAGAGUUCUCGUUAGACAAAGUUCCUGUGAAGGAACCCGAGUCUGACGACAGUUAAUUAACUGGGAUUCCUCCGAUU